rnacentral:rRNA from 1 species
AUGUCCGGGGUUGAGCCCGGAUUUCCGGGGCUGUCUGUCCAGAACCGAGCAGAUUUGGCGCUCCAGGAGCCGGAUGUCCGGCUUGGGGCCCGGAUGUCCGGCCUGAGGCCCGGAUGUCCGGCCCGACGAUUCCAGAUCGGGAUUUGGACUUCGAAACUCGAUUUUGGGUGGAAAUGGAUGAUUUCAAGAGCAAAAUUUGAUGGAUUUUGUGGAGGGAAAGUGCGGAAACUUGGGGGAAAGCUAGAUCCACUUGAAACCAAGCAAAUCCAUGGAUCAAAAUCAACAAAACAUCAUCAAACCAACAAAUCACAAAAAAAUUUGGGGCUAUUUUUGGUGGAAAUUUUCGGAUUUAGGCAAGAACACACAAAAUCAAGCUAG